CUCAGUGGACAGUGAGGAGCGCUUGGCUUGAUUUGAGAGGCUUCUUGGUUGUGUGUCUUCCCUGAUCUUUGCUUUAUUGAAAGAGGCAUGACAGAGAACUUCUCCUGGCAUCCCUGUUGGUCCUGAUUCCUCCCACUGACUCCUGCCAAUUCAGCUGAGGCCUGGCUGCCUCUGCUAGGUCAUGCCACCGCUGCUGAUCUGUGUUUGCUAACACACACACACACAUAAGGUCUGACAGCAGGAGUGGGGACUCAGCUGUCCUCAUUCAGCUUUCCAUCUCCAGGGCCAGGCUAAUGGAGACACUCUGUGAAUGAAGGUGAAUGGACUUCUUUACUGAACAAGGAGCAUUGAUGCCUCCUGGAAUAAAGUUCCAUGCCCUGAGCAGCCUUCCUCAGCCACUCCCCUUCCUGCCUCUGUGCAUGAUGGAGGGUGGAUCUGCCCACUCUCUGAUGCUUCAUUGGCUAUAGGAACUAUUGUAAUCUAUGCUGAAAGACUCUAGUCCGUGUAACAGUUGAGACUAUGGACAGGGGAGCCAGCCAGAAACAUUUCUUAAAUCUCUGCCUUUGCCUCUUUCAAACUGUAUGCCCUAGGUGGUAUGGCAGAGUUCCAGGCCUAGCGGCUGCUCCCUGCACCUGCCCCCUCCACAUCCAAUUUCUUUGCAAUGGCCUAAAAAGCUAACCAAGCUGAAAUAGCUCAUUCCAAGGCUCUCAAACUCUGGCACCGUCAUUCAGUGUUUGCAGAGACCUAGUCUCAUCCUGGCCACUCACCA
rnacentral:lncRNA from 1 species